GCCGGGCGCAGUGGCGUAUGCCUGAAAUCCCAGGGGCUCGGGAGGCUGAGGCAGGAGGAUCGUGAGUUCAAAGCCAGCCUCAGCAAAAGCGAGGCACUAAGCAUCUCAGUGAGCCCCUGUCUCUA
rnacentral:sRNA from 1 species